rnacentral:rRNA from 1 species
AUUGAACGCUGGCGGCAGGCCUAACACAUGCAAGUCGAACGGUAACAGGAAGCAGCUUGCUGCUUCGCUGACGAGUGGCGGACGGGUGAGUAAUGUCUGGGAAACUGCCUGAUGGAGGGGGAUAACUACUGGAAACGGUAGCUAAUACCGCAUAACGUCGCAAGACCAAAGAGGGGGACCUUAGGGCCUCUUGCCAUCGGAUGUGCCCAGAUGGGAUUAGCUAGUAGGUGGGGUAACGGCUCACCUAGGCGACGAUCCCUAGCUGGUCUGAGAGGAUGACCAGCCACACUGGAACUGAGACACGGUCCAGACUCCUACGGGAGGCAGCAGCGGGGAAUAUUGCACAAAGGGCGCAAGCCUGAUGCAGCCAUGCCGCGUGUAUGAAGAAGGCCUUCGGGUUGUAAAGUACUUUCAGCGGGGAGGAAGGGAGUAAAGUUAAUACCUUUGCUCAUUGACGUUACCCGCAGAAGAAGCACCGGCUAACUCCGUG